CACCCUAGAAGCCAAAGUGACCACGCAAGAGAGAUCGGUUACACAAGCCAAUCGUCUUUGGUGCCAUUGGAAUGACUGCCAUUUUGACAAGAAACUGUUUGUGACGGCUACCGCUGAGGAUUCCCCGGCCGUGCAAGAAAGCUCCAGCCCUCGCCACCUG